UACGUAGGGAGCGAGCGUUGUCCGGAUUCAUUGGGCGUAAAGAGCUCGUAGGCGGCCCGGUAAGUCCGCUGUGAAAGUCAAAGGCUCAACCUUUGAAUGUCAGCGGAUACUGCCGGGCUAGAGUCCGGAAGAGGCGAGUGGAACUCCUGGUGUAGCGGUGGAAUGCGCAGAUAUCAGGAAGAACACCAACGGCGAAGGCAGCUCGCUGGGACGGAACUGACGCUAAGGCGCGAAAGCGUGGGGAGCGAACAGG
rnacentral:rRNA from 1 species